rnacentral:rRNA from 1 species
GACGAACGCUGGCGGCGCGCUUAACACAUGCAAGUCGAGCGAGGCCCCUCCUUCGGGAGGGUGUCCUAGCGGCGAACGGGUGAGUAACACGUGGGCAACCUGCCCUCAGCUCUGGGAUAACUCCGGGAAACCGGGGCUAAUACCGGAUACGACCUCCACGGGCAUCUGCGGAGGUGGAAAGUUUUUCGGCUGAGGAUGGGCCCGCGGCCUAUCAGCUAGUUGGUGGGGUAGUGGCCCACCAAGGCGACGACGGGUAGCCGGCCUGAGAGGGCGACCGGCCACACUGGGACUGAGACACGGCCCAGACUCCUACGGGAGGCAGCAGUGGGGAAUAUUGCGCAAUGGGCGAAAGCCUGACGCAGCGACGCCGCGUGAGGGACGAAGGCCUUCGGGUUGUAAACCUCUUUCAGCAGGGACGAAGCGAAAGUGACGGUACCUGCAGAUGAAGCACCGGCCAACUACGUG